rnacentral:lncRNA from 1 species
UGAAAUAAUGCGAUUUCGGGUAAUCGGGAGGGCUUUUAUGUAUUUUGGGUUGUUGCGGCUGCUGUUGGCAGCAUGGGUAGGCUGAGGAUAACCUCUGGACUGAUCUUCCAAGGCCCCAAGCUUUUGCGAAAAUCGAAAAGUGAUUUUUGGAGCGUUUUUCGGCGAAAUCCGCCGAUAGAACGCGUUUUCGAUUCGGAGUUCAUCCGACGGUGCCUCGUGGUUGAUGUAGCGUCGCUGA